rnacentral:tRNA from 1 species
AAAAAGAUAAGCUAAUAAAGCUAUUAGGUUCAUACCCUAAUUAUAAAGGUUCUAAUCCUUUUCUUUUUA